AGAGAAGUAUUUUUUUUAUAAAACAUAUCAUUGGUCUUAUAGUUAAUGGAUAUGAUGUUGAACGACGUUUCUGCUACAUACUUCUUACAAUUUUCUGAAUUUGUCUUACAGGAAAGGUGCUUACGUCAGCAAACAGUAAAGCAGCUUCAGUGAUAAUGGACAAUGCAGCUUCAGCCAUUGAGGACAUUGUAGCUUCAGCCAAUGAGGACAAUGUAGCUUCAGCCAUUGAGGAAAACACAAUUAUGUAAACGUUCUUGACUUAACGUAAAUGCCCUCGCCAAAUAUCGUGACUGUACUUGACUAGUAAUGACUGAGAUUAAUCAUUCCAACACCCACUAUCUGUCUUACUGUAUUAUUUAACAUGUGUCAGGCAUAAGUAAUGUUGUCGGAUGACUAACAAAUUUAUGUUUUGAAAGGUCAAUACUGAAAAGAUUAUUUCAGUAUCAAGCCAACAGUGUUACAUAAGAAGUGUGAAUGUGUGUGCUACAAAAGCAUGCUACUGGAAAGAAGCUACUUUAGAAUAUGUCUCUAUAAAAUAGUACUGAUCUUACACAGUUACCACACCAAGUGAAACACAUAUCUAAUAACCUUGUUUUAAAAUCGAGGUCGAUUCAAUUUUCUUCCGCAUUCAUGUUUUUACUUAAGAUACAAUUAUUCUGUAGCUUUGUUUAUGAACUUUUAACCAAAGUUGCGGCUGUCUCUAACAAAUUGGUUAACGGUAAAUUUAUGGCGUCACGAGUAGAAUAAGUGCAGAUCUGGGCCGUUUGUUUUUAUCCUGUACUUAUACAAUGUAAGUCAAUUGAAAUGAUUUAUUGAAUUACCCUUGUAAUAUAAGGUUUGCACUCAAACAUUAAUAAAAUGAGGGCAUAAAGAAGUUGAACGUUUAAAUAUAUGAUGCUACGUCUCUAAUAAGGUCUGAUCAAAGACGAGAUGUGGUUGAUACUUCAAUAAGUUGUGCAUCAAAAUUUUACAAUUGUGUUGCCCUGGUUUCCAUUGAAAAGACAACGGUAAUAAAGUUGAUAUGUAUUCUAGUGUAUUUUGCUUAAAAUUAAAUUGCAGUGGUAUUAUGUAAAUUAGUAUAUGCAUUUCAUGUUUACGUUUCAUGAAUAGCUCAAGCAAAAUUGAGCGGUUAUGGAACUCCUUAAAAUCGUUUUAAACCCCUACGCUCUUCAUGGACGGUUCCAUCCCGGUAAUCUCAAUUUUAUUCAUUGUAAUGUGUAUUUCUGAGUUGUCUAUUACAUUUGCUGUGUAUUUAACUGUUUUGCAAUUGGUUCCUUGCCAAGAUAAAGGACAACACGCUUUAAGAUUUCUCUCCUUUGUAUAUAUUGACGUUGGUAUGAAAUAAAACAUAUUGGUAGUAUA